GUGGGGAAUUUUGGACAAUGGGCGAAAGCCUGAUCCAGCCAUGCCGCGUGCAGGAUGAAGGCCUUCGGGUUGUAAACUGCUUUUGUACGGAACGAAAAGACUCUGGUUAAUACCUGGGGUCCAUGACGGUACCGUAAGAAUAAGCACCGGCUAACUACGUGCCAGCAGCCGCGGUAAUACGUAGGGUGCAAGCGUUAAUCGGAAUUACUGGGCGUAAAGCGUGCGCAGGCGGUUAUAUAAGACAGAUGUGAAAUCCCCGGGCUCAACCUGGGAACUGCAUUUGUGACUGUAUAGCUAGAGUACGGCAGAGGGGGAUGGAAUUCCGUGUGUAGCAGUGAAAUGCGUAGAUAUGCGGAGGAACACCGAUGGCGAAGGCAAUCCCCUGGGCCUGUACUGACGCUCAUGCACGAAAGCGUGGGGAGCAAACAGGAUUAGAAACCCCAGUAGUCC
rnacentral:rRNA from 1 species